CCAGUUGGCCGGGCGGCCGCGCUGUACCAAUGCCGAAAGGCGGUAUGGUGAGGAAAGUCCGGGCUCCACGGAAACACGGUGCCGGAUAAUGUCCGGCGGGGGUGACCCCAGGGAAAGUGCCACAGAAAGCAAACCGCCCCGCUUUCAUGACGUCUGGUCGCCGAAAAGGCGUGAGAGGCAGACGCCAUGAUGGCGGGGUAAGGGUGAAAGGGUGGGGUAAGAGCCCACCGCGGAUGCGGCAACGCAGACGGCAAGGUAAACCCCACCGGGAGCAAGACCGAAUAGGGAUGACGCGGCGCUUCGGCACCAGCCUGUUUCCGGGCCAGUCAUCCGGGUGGGUUGCGCGAGGCAGUGCGCAAGCACUGUCCCAGAUGAAUGGUCGCCACGUCCUUUCCUAGCGGUAAGGGCCAUACAGAACCCGGCUUACAGGCCAACUGGUUUU
rnacentral:RNase_P_RNA from 1 species